UACGUAGGAGGCGAGCGUUGUCCGGAGUUACUGGGCGUAAAGGGUGCGCAGGCGGCGGUUCGCGUGGAUAGAUGAAAUCUCCUGGCUUACCUGGGAGGAUGGUAUCCAGACGGGAUCGCUUGAGGGUCGGAGAGGGGCGUGGAAUUCCGGGUGGAGUGGUGAAAUGCGUAGAUAUCCGGAGGAACACCAAAGGCGUAGGCAGUGUCCUGGAUUGUAUCUGACGCUCAGGUGCGAAAGCUAGGGGAGCGAACGGG
rnacentral:rRNA from 1 species